rnacentral:lncRNA from 1 species
CAGGGUCGAAGGAAAAGCUUGACAAAGGGUUGCGUCAGUUGCUCCUUAUAGGAGCACAAAGGAUUUAAAAUUUUCUAAGUAGUUCCAUCGUAUGGCUCCAAUUGAGGCAUUUUGAAUCAAGACGAUAACAGUUCACUCAUGAUCUCCUGUGUGAAUGGUGGGUCUGUGUUGAAAUCCAGAUCGGCAUUUUGCUGUCAUGGUGCUUGUAGCACUUCAAUCCGUUGCUGCAUCUCCUGGAGCCUCCUCUCCAAGUCAUCCUUCUGAGUUGGGGAGUGGCGAGAAGAAAGGUGCCAUGGUGUCGAAUCUCUUCUUGAGAUCAGGGUGGAUGAUCA